GCUAAACCAUCAAAGAAAAUUCGACUUCCAACCCUCAAAUUUGCUUCAACUUUCUUCUGAUGAAGGAAAAGGCAUAGAUGCUUGUAAGCAUGGGCUGGCCCAAAAAGUAUAUAAAUAUGUAGAGCCUGGCUGCUAAUUGAAUAAUAAACACAAUUUAUCAGUGUCCACUUCAGUAAAUUACGGCUAACCAAAGUAAUUAUGUGAAUAUAUAUUAGUGUGCCAAUACAUUCAUAUAUCCUGGGAAUUUUAUUUAAAACAUGCUUAUUGCUACCUAUAUGUUCAUGCAUCAUGGGAAUUUGAAAAAAGAAAAAAGAAAAAUGCUAACAAGGCAUCUGUUUAUUCUGCACUGCAGUAACUAGAAUCAAUUGUGUGGAUUUUAAUUUAAUGAAAAAAGGGUUUGCACUUACAUAUUUGUUUGUACCAACAGCUGAGAAGAUGGGCAUGCCAAAUAUCCUACCUUUCUACAGUCAAAAUGGAUCCAUUGAUGGAAUACUAAAAGGCCUCAACUUUGGUUCAGCACAAGCAACAAUCAUGAACCCGAGCAGCCAGAGCUACCAGUCUGUAAACCAGCAACUACGCCAAGUUUUCGACUCAAUGCAGCUCUUACAACUGCAGCUGAGCCAGGAAACAGCUCUCCAUUUCAUCCGAUCUUCCAUCUUCUACCUCUCCUUUGGCAAAGACGACUACAUCGACCUCUACCAGCGCAAAGCAUCAGGCGCUGCAAAACCCAACUACAGUGACCAAGAAUUCUCCCACGUUUUAGCAAAUCAGAUGAUACAUGUUAUAAGGAACCUCUAUGACAUGAAUGUGAGGAGGAUGAUCUGCAUGGGGAUAUUGCCUCUGGGAUGCACACCGCGUAUGUUGCUGGACCGGUACAAUUCGAAUUCCAAAGGCAGUGAGGAAGAUGACGAUGGAAGGGGUUGUGUGGAGGAGAUCAAUGCGCAGGUUUCGGAGUACAACAAAAUGCUGCACGAGCAGAUUGCUAUGCUCCGCACAGAGCUUCCGGAUGCCCAGAUUGUGUUCUGUGAUGUGUACCAAGGAAUUAGAAAGAUCAUAAACAACCCAGAACACUACGGUACAAAUCACAACAAACAACUCUUUCAAAUUUCCAUACAUUACUGAUUUCAUUUCAUUUUCAAGGAAGGAAUUUAAUUGCUUCGAAUUAUAAGAUUCUAAGAAACUUACUGGUUGCAGGAUUUGAGGAUGUAAAGAAUGCCUGCUGUGGCUUGGGAAUGUAUGGGGCAGCAAUUGGAUGCCUUUCAAAAGAUACGGCAUGCGAACAAGAUACAAGCCAUGUGUGGUGGGAUUUGUACAACCCAACAAAGGCAGUCAACUCCUUGCUGGCUGACUCUGCCUGGGCCGGCUCUCCCCUUUCCCGCAUUUGCCGCCCUACCACCAUCCAGGAAUUGCUUUCCACUGCUUCACCCUCACAUCCAAUUCCCACCUGACUCUGCAACUCUAAUUUUCUAAUAAUUUCCACUGUUUUCUGGUUCAAGUAGAAAUUAGGACUUCAUGAAUGUAAAUUUCAACUAUUUUCCUGAAGCUCAGCGAUUCCAGAUUCCUCUGUCUAAACUCCUAAGUGGAAAUUGGAAUGCUGUAUUAAAAUGGAUAAACUGCCGUUUUACCCGUGAACUAUCACGCUAAUCGAACUUAAUUCCCUGAAUUAUUCUUUUUCAGUGAAUUUAGCACUUGAACUCCCUAUUUUCUGGUUCAAGUAGAUACUUGGGGCUUGAUGAAUGUAAAUUUCAACUAUUUUUCUGAAGCUCACAGAUUCCAGAUUCCUCUGUCCAAGCUCCACGGUGGGUUGCAAUAUAAAAAUAGUAAAAAGUUUGGAACUUUUGAAACCCCCAACGUCCACAUUGUCUGAUUAAUUUAAUAAUAUUCAAAAGCAAAAGCAUAUCACAAAAUCAAUAUCAAAAUAAUUAAACUCACUCACCUUGCUGCCAAACAAAACCCUCAACAAUGGCCGCAGCAACUCAAGCGCUUUUGAGCCUCUUCGCAGCUUCCCUCCCGACCAAGCACCGCCCUCUCACGAUCAGAGCUUCAAAGCCCGCCACCACCAACCCGCCCAUAGCCGGCCGGAAACU
rnacentral:lncRNA from 1 species